UACGUAGGGUGCAAGCGUUGCCCGGAUUUAUUGGGCGUAAAGGGUGCGCAGGCGGCUGGCGGCGUGUGCGGUGAAAUCUCCCGGCUUAACUGGGAGGGGGCCGUGCAAACGGGCCAGCUUGAGGCUCGCAGGGGGGCGUGGAACUCCGGGUGGAGCGGUGAAAUGCGUAGAGAUCCGGAAGAACACCGACGGCGAAGGCAGUGUCCUGGGGAGUACCUGACGCUCAGGUGCGAAAGCCAGGGGAGCGAACGGG
rnacentral:rRNA from 1 species